rnacentral:tRNA from 1 species
GGCUGCCGUGGCUGACUGGUUAUGGUGUUCGCUUUGUAAGCGAAAGGUUCUGGUUUCGAUUCCCAUGUACUCC